rnacentral:lncRNA from 1 species
UCCGGCACCUGUUGAACUGUAUGGCCCAAUUGGUUUUCAUCAUUUUUGAGCCAGCAGUCGACUUGCUGCGGGUUUUUUCUUAACCACGGCAUAUGCGACCUUUUCACUCCUCGUAACUCGUAACAUAUUAUCUUGUAUGCCUUGCUAUCACGUAUACCGAACACAGCUUCCGGGCAUCGUACUACUUAAGUCGGUCAGCAUUUUUCAUGACCAUCAUGAAGUCCGACAAUAGUGCUCUAUCUACGACAACGACGACGAUGACCAUUACCAACAAAAUUACGAGUGUACCACAGUUGGCUGCUGAGUCCCUUACACGUCAUUGGUUAUUACGUCAUUCAAAAUAUUAACAUUGUAUAAUCUGCUCGCUGGUGGUCCAAAACGUUAUUCCGAGCCAUGCCCCAGUGUGGGCUGGCGGCUUGACUGUGCAGGGGACGGGUGCAGCCCUCUGUCCUCUGUUCGUCCAGGCAUUAUUGUGUCAUCUGCCUUCGAUUUCCUGUCG